AUUACCAUGGAUUAAAGCUGGACAACUGAAACAACAGAAAGCCCAUGGAAACUAAACAACUCUCUACUCAAUGAUCACCAGACAGGAACCUAGCAUCACUGUCAUCUGAGAGGCUCUACCCAGAAGCCAAUGGAAAAAGAUGCAAAGACUCAUACCCAAACAUUAGGUGGAGCUCAGGGAGUCAUAUGGAAGAGUUGAGAGAAGGGUUGAGGAAUCCGAAGAGAAAAGGAAUACUACAGGAAGACCAACAGAGUCAACUAACAUGGACCCUUGGAAGCUCCCAGAGAACAAAUCACCAACCAAAGAAUAUACACAGGAUGGAUGUAGGCCCUCUGCACAUAUGUAAAAGGGCAAGCUCCAUGCUCAGGAAUAGUCAGCCAACACAUAUUGGACUCCAUGCUUACUACAAAAGAUGGCUGGAGCAGGGGGUAAUUAAUUGUCUUUGUCUCCCAUGUAAGAUUUACCUUAUCAGGGUGAAAUGGAUAUGGCUUAAUGUAUGUGUGAGAGUGGGGGUGAGUCUGGGAGGAUUGGAAGAGGGAAAAGAAUAUAUGAUCAAAAUAUAUCAUGUGACAUUUUCAAAGAAUAAAUAGAAACUGGUUUGAGGGGGCUAGAGAAAGAUUCAGCAGUUAAGACUCUUGCUGCUCUUGCAAAGAACCCAUGUUUGGCUCUCAGCAUUCACAUUCAGUGACUCACAACCACUGUAACUCCAACUCCAGGGGAUCUGCACACCAUCUUCUUACAGCUGAAACACACACACGAACAUGUAUAUGUGAAUGCACACCCAUACACCCACUCACCCACCCCACCCUACAUCAUCCCCACACACAGACACAAAUUUUUUGAAAAUCUUUAAAAAAUAUUUUUAUCAAAGUUUCUACAUAUAUGUAUAAAAAUGCACAAUUCUAUUUAUAAUAUAAACACUGUUUUAUAUCAUAUAUUAUAUUUAUAUAUUAUACAUUCCUCACAAUGUAUAUUUAUAAUUAUUAAAUAAUUAUAGUUGUAUCUUUUUAAUUGACUUCCCGAUGAAUUGGCAUUCUUUGCUGCCUUGCCCUUUUAUGAUUUCAGAUCUAUUUCAUUUUGACAUGUCAUCACAUUGUAUUUUGGUCUACAAAGUUUUGUUUUUCCUGAGAAAUCCACCCAUACUUUUGUGAAGGGAUUCCUUUCAUGUGACAAAUGGCUUUACUUUUUUUUGUUUUUUAUAACUCUUUGACUUUGACUUUGAUAAUUCAAUUCUAAUACAGUACAAUAAUCUUUCUGUCAAAUGUUGAGAAUCUUUAGUCUUCCUUGUGAGUAUAUAUUUCUAGCCCUAAAUUUGGGGAUAUUUUAACCAUUGUUUCUUUUAAUAAUCUUUUUUCUCCAUCUCUUUUUCCUCUUAUAACUCCAGCUCUAGGAGUUCUGAUACCCUGAAUCUGGCACCUAAAGGCACCAUAUGUAUACAUAUAUUAUAAUGUAUUAGUCAAUUUUCUGUUGCUAUAAACAAGUGCCUGAGGCUGGGUACUUUAUAAAUAGAGUGGAUUUAUUCACCUCAUAGUUUGUGGGAAAUGACUGUCCAAGAUCAGUUAUUCUCAUCUGUUCAGCUUCUGCCAAGGACAUUUUGAUGUCUCAGAAAGAGAUGGACAGCAUGAUGGAAGGGCACAUGUGAAGUGGUACUACAUUGUGAAAAGACAGAAAGCCAGAGAGAUUCAGAGCUACCUAUAUGCAGGAGAUCAGAUUUUCUUCUGAGAUUUCAACCUAAGGAACUGAUCACAAUAAAAUGAAUACAGAAUCAAAUAUUAGGAUCUGUCAAUAAACAGAUUAUAAAAAUCCAA